AAUCAUGGUUUGAAAAGGUCAACUCUGCGUGGAACAAGGAAUAAGCUGAUUAGCGCUAAAUUCUCAAUACCCUGAUCAGUUUUAAUGAGCUAGUGACGUCAUGAGGUGAAGGCGCGUUGUGUUGAAGGGACGCAUGGUUUUUGCAAUCAAAAUGUCAGCUAAAGGAUAUGAAAGUGACGAGGACGAUAAACCUAAAACUUUCGAAGUUAUUGAAGUAUUUGCGAAAGGAGAAGAUAGAUUUGUAUACGAGCCUUUGGGGAUAGUAUAUCGUGAUCCAAGAGAUGACGGAUUCCAAGCAGAAAGAGGAUACAUAGUUGAUACCAUAUCCACAAAAGCAGGAGAUGAAAUAACACUCAUUAUGAACACGACAAUGAAGGCAAGGGUGGCUAAGAUCACUCGUAAAGGCCCCAAUGACUAUGUGGUGGAUAAAGAACAUGAUGUUUACAGCAAGACGGUGGACAUAAACUGCCGUGCAAAAAAAACAACCAGGAUAAGAAAUAAUCGUGGAAGAAGAAGAGGAGGAUCCAACCAAAAUCAUGCAUGAAAAUAUAAAAUGAAGAUUCUGAUUGAAUUUAUUAUUCUAAUUGAAUCUAUUAUUCAUUUAUCUAUAUUGUGCAUAAAUGUCUAAAAUUUCUUAACGUUAUUAUUGCAAUGAAGUAGGUUUUUAAUUCUUUUGUUUCACAGAUAUAAUCGCGGAAGAAGACGAGGGGGAGAUUCUGCAGAUUGGAUCUAUUCAUUUAUCUGUUGAUACAAUGUUAUGAAGCAAAAGAAGGACAGUAUUGGCGUGUCGAAGCUACUCCUCAGGGCGAUGAUAUUUAUAUAUAUACAGUAGAGUACAGAACUGUAGUUAUAUCCCGAAGAGGCCCUAACAAUUAUGAGAGCAAUGAUGACACACACUGGGUUCACUCUGAAACAGUUUCGUACUAGAGAAGAUGCCGGACGAAAACUAUCUGGACGGAACUACCAAAGGAUUUCGGAAGACUAAAACUUUACUUUUUUCAUCUUAAUCAAUUUUUGGGUUAAAUAAUAUAAUGUUGAUGAUAUAUCAAUAAGUUAGAAAAUUAACAGUAAAGCAAAAAAAUAAUUUAAUACAAAGUUAAGACUUGGUGCGAUUUUAGAAUCUGAUUAAUAUAAAGGAAACUUUUUUGAUGUUAUUAGAUGUUUUGCUUAAUAAAGAUGUUUUUUUUCUGUAA